AACGAACGCUGGCAGCGUGGAUUAGGCAUGCAAGUCGAGCGAUCUCUUCGGAGAGAGCGGCGGACGGGUGAGUAACGCGUGGGUAACCUGCCCUGUACACACGGAUAACAUACCGAAAGGUAUACUAAUACGGGAUAACAUACGAAAGUCGCAUGGCUUUUGUAUCAAAGCUCCGGCGGUACAGGAUGGACCCGCGUCUGAUUAGCUAGUUGGUAAGGUAAUGGCUUACCAAGGCAACGAUCAGUAGCCGACCUGAGAGGGUGAUCGGCCACACUGGAACUGAGACACGGUCCAGACUCCUACGGGAGGCAGCAGUGGGGAAUAUUGCACAAUGGGCGAAAGCCUGAUGCAGCAACGCCGCGUGAGCGAUGAAGGCCUUCGGGUCGUAAAGCUCUGUCCUCAAGGAAGAUAAUGACGGUACUUGAGGAGGAAGCCCCGGCUAACUACGUGCCAGCAGCAGCCGCAG
rnacentral:rRNA from 1 species